AUGACCUACAUGGAUCAUGAAGUGGACUGGUUUGAUAGCUGCGACAGUGAUACUUGGUCAGUUCUAUGGAUUGAUGAUUUUCUUCUCCAAUUGGGCUAUGACAGAGCAAUGUCCAAGAUAGAUGUGUAUUGGAGCAAACCUGGAAAGUCUUUGUGUGAUGGCCUUCAGUUGAUUGCAUGUGAUGCAGACAUUGUCCUUAUGAUUGCUGCAACAGUAGAUCACAAGAACUUGGUCUUGCUUGUAGACCAUGGUGACACCCUGGAGUCACUAACUGCUGAUGAUGUGUUGGUAGAGGGGAUGCUUGAGCUGCCAAGGGUUAUUACUCCAGUUAAGUCAGCAAAGGGAAAAGAAAAUGUGGACAACUUUGAGAAACCAAAAAUUGCAACAGAGAUGAGAUGUAACUACAAGAAAGCAAAGAGAUUCAUGUCAUUUGGUGAGGGCUGUAGCUCUAGGGUUCCAGAUCGAGAAUUUGAGGAAGAAGAUGGCAAUUGUGACAGUGAUGAUAGUGGUGCUGAAGAUGCAGGUGACAGUAGUGAAGAACAUGUAGAUGCAGAAGUUGAAACUGAUGAGGAUUUCUAUGAGAGUGAUUACGAAGUAGCACAAGGUGAUGAUGAUCUGUUUGAGAGCUAUGUAGACAAAGAUGUUGAUGACCAUAGACAGAAGGAGAUUGUGCCUGACUUUGAAGGAGAACUUCCUGAAGAUGCCCUAGAUGACAGUCAUCUAAACCUAUCAAAAGAAGAAGGAGACAAGCUUAGAUACAAAUUCAGCACAUUCAAUCCGUCCACUGACCUUAAAGCACCAACUUUUAGAGUUGGCAUGCUUUUUGCUGAUAUGAAAGAGCUAAGGCUUGUUGUGGUUGCAUACAGUGUAAGAAACGGAGUAAAGGUUAAGAAGAUAAGGAAUACGGCCACCAAAUUUGAGGCAGUAUGCAAGCCUGGAUGUACUUGGUACUUGAAGGCAGGCAAAGAUAACAGGAGUACUAGCAUUCAGAUAAAGAAAUACCUUGACAAUCACACAUGCACCAAGGCUUGGGAUCUAAAAGCUUUGACUGCACCAUUCCUGACUGCACAAUUCAGAGAAGAAUUCAGAGACAAUGAGAAGAUGCCUUUGAGAAAGUUUUCAGAUAAAGUGGAGCAGGAAUUCAACAUGGUUGCAAAGAGAAGUAAGCUGGGAAGAGCAAGAAGAGCAGCAGUUAAACAAAUUAGAGGUGAAGAUGAUGACCAAUACAAUAUGUUGUGGGACUAUGGCCAAGAGCUUAGGAGGACUAACCCAGGAAGCAAGUUCUUCCUGUGCACUAAGGAGGUUUUUGAUGAUAAAACUAAAGAAACAAAAGACCACUUCUCAACACUGUACUGA
rnacentral:rRNA from 1 species